rnacentral:rRNA from 1 species
UACGUAGGGAGCAAGCGUUGUCCGGAAUCAUUGGGCGUAAAGCGCGCGUAGGUGGCUUCGUAAGUCCGUUGUGAAAGUCAAAGGCUCAACCUUUGAAAGCCGAUGGAUACUGUGAAGCUAGAGUACGGAAGAGGCGAGUGGAAUUCCUGGUGUAGCGGUGGAAUGCGCAGAUAUCAGGAGGAACACCAUAGCGAAGGCAGCUCGCUGGGACGUUACUGACACUGAGGCGCGAAAGCGUGGGGAGCGAACAGG